GGGUCCGUAGCUCAGCCUGGCCAGAGCACCUGUGUCUGAAUCAGGGUGGCGCGGGUUCAAAUCCCGUCGGACUCA
rnacentral:tRNA from 1 species